UACGUAGGGUGCAAGCGUUGUCCGGAAUUAUUGGGCGUAAAGAGCUUGUAGGCGGUUUGUCGCGUCUGCUGUGAAAUUUCGGGGCUCAACCCCGAACUUGCAGUGGGUACGGGCAGACUAGAGUGUGGUAGGGGAGACUGGAAUUCCUGGUGUAGCGGUGAAAUGCGCAGAUAUCAGGAGGAACACCGAUGGCGAAGGCAGGUCUCUGGGCCGUAACUGACGCUGAGGAGCGAAAGCAUGGGGAGCGAACAGG
rnacentral:rRNA from 1 species